rnacentral:rRNA from 1 species
AUACGUAGGUGGCAAGCGUUGUCCGGAUUUAUUGGGUUUAAAGGGUGCGUAGGUUGUGUUGUAAGUCAGUGGUGAAAUCCGGCAGCUUAACUGUCGAUGUGCCAUUGAUACUGCAGCACUUGAGUACAGACGAGGUAGGCGGAAUUGACGGUGUAGCGGUGAAAUGCUUAGAUAUCGUCAAGAACACCGAUAGCGAAGGCAGCUUACUAGGCUGUAACUGACACUGAUGCACGAAAGUGUGGGGAUC